UUUGUUGCGACACAGCCAAUAUUCUUCUGUCAGUUAAUGCUGUGUGAUAGUUGGCAAUGAACCAGCAUGCAUAUUGUUCCCUAGUGAAGUGCAUUCUUUGGAACAAGAACACGCAACUAGAUGACUCACAUUCAGCAAGCUUUAUAAUGAAAAGUUCAACAAUCAUAUCGCUGCCAGUUUCUCUGUCAUAACCAUCAUCUUGCAGGUACUGAGAUGCUGUCUGUUGCCUCAUGUGAGAUGUUUUUUGCUGCUAUUGAAAGGAAUACAUAGUAUUGAGAGAUUUUUACAUGUAUUAUUAAUAUAUUUGAUGUAGAGCAAUUCUUCCACAGUAGCUGAUUAUGCAUAGUGAUUAAAGUGAAAAGCAUCUGCAUCUUCGUGCUAGUGGAUGUCACUUGACGUAAGAAGUCAUAUUAAUGGGAAGCGAAGUACUUACCAGCAAUCUCAGUUGCAUCGGUCAAUCUGUGCAGUAAACUGUACCAUCAAGAUUCCGUCUCAGAUUCCUAAAAUCUGUUAUACUGCUUCUGCUAAUGAAAGUAAUAUAUAUUCCAAGAGUCUAUGAGUGAGUUUGUGUGACAUUAACACACGAGUCUGUUACAGAAGUGUCACCUACAGUUGGCAGCAGAAACUGCAUGCAUCAAAACUGAACUCGGCUAAGCCUCACUCUUCAGGCAGAUGAUAUGAUGGUCAGGACCCAGAAUACACCAUACAGGAGGUGUGCUGCCACAUGCCCAUGAGGACAUGACCACCAGAAUAUGUGGUAGGGCUGAUCGAAAACACAUAACAGCAUCACACUUACAAGAUGUCCUGUGCUGUUAGAUACCACUAAACUAUCCUCGAAUGGCUGAGCAGUUAUUAUAGUGGGAACAAAAUGGACACACAUUAUAGCCUCAACGUCACUUCACAGUUUCUACAGCCACUGAGGACCCAGGCCUCAAACACCAGGAGAGCUAUUUCUAUGUGUUUUCAUUAUGCUGCUGGAUGCAUCACAUAGAGACUGCCACAACAGUGUGAAGUCUUCGAUUCCUGAGGAUCAAGAUAACUGUGAAAAUUUUCUCAGAAUUUCUUCUGUGUGGUGUGCAGCCACCAGCUUGUCAUUCUGUUCAUAGCAGGACUGGAUAUUCCUGAUUUCUCAGACACACAGACUCCACUUUCUCAUCUCAAUGUUGCUGGGGCAAUGUACUGUCUGCCACAUGCUACCAUUAGUACCUCCCAGUGCAGGAGCAGACAGGGGGAUUUUGUUACCAAAAACGAUACCUCAUCUUCCUCAGUAAGAGGAAAUUGGUACCAGGCACAUGUACCCUGGCCACAACCCUGAAGUAUCAGCACUACAGUCCUUCAGCUUAGUAGGGAAAAAUGUCGUGAGUUACAACUUGAGACUUAGAAGCUGCACAAUGUGAAUCUGGAUGUGCCUCAAAACCUUUCUCAUGUAGCAUAUAUUUUGGCUACACUGUGCAGACUCUGCUCCUAAACUAGUGGCACUACAGACAAUGCAUAAGUGCCCUGGACUUCAGUGUUAGAAUCUGUGUCAGGGUUUCCAGAACAAUUGAAUGAACAUCAAGAAACACGCCACAUAUGCCAUACUGGAGGGAGCAUCAUCAUUCUGUGGCCUUGAUUCACUAUAUCUUUAAUAGUGUGUUACUGGUGUGACAAUGUGCUGUUUCACUGGAUUACAAAUGAAGUACCAUUCAGUACGUAGAGUGACUUAAGCUAAACAAUUUUUGUCUAACCAUCAGCAGCUGUGUGGGCACAACUGAUAUAUCUUUCUAUGCCUAUUUUAUGUCUUUGUAUUAUCUGAAUAGGCACAUAGCUGUGCUUGUAAAAGUCCUAAUUUUUUUUUUAUUUAUGAGUUUUCUGUUUUAAACAUUGUGAGAUAAAGAUUCACAUUUUCUGUAAUGCCCUCAAAAUUUUCCUUAUGUUUUGAAAAUGUGUUUGCCCAGUUACUCAACUGUUCAUUUGUUUUACCUCUUACUUUUUAGGACUGCUGUAAUACAUCAUCCAAACAUGGAAAACACAGUUACAUUAUGUGAGUAAUGAUUAAAUGCAAUGACAGUAAUCAUAGCAACAGUGAAAAUAAUGGUCUAGUCAAUGGACAGAAAAUUGCAAAUUAUUGCUUUGUGACAUCAUAAGCUAAUUAUUAUGAAUAAAGUGGUAAUUGUGUGGUGGUUACCAUUUGAACCAAGUUUGAAUGAACAUCAUUACUGCAUUAAACAGUUAAGUUAUAACGUCUGGAUUUGUUGCUGCAAUAGCAUUUAUAUGUUUCCACAACAAAAUAAGAAUACAUAAUCUAACUGCAUGUUGUGUAUUUGACAGAACUGUGUAUUUCAUUUCUUUAGUAUCUUGUUUGAAUACUUGUUACUUCAGCAAUUUUUAUCUCAGCAUUCACUGUGGUCUAACACUUGUUUGUAAUACAACUGUCAAAGCUGUUUUUUGCAAAGAGUUCACAGGUUGUUUGUAUUUAGUAUGUUGUUGAAAUGUUAAUUAUCACAAGCAUUAAUAAUGUUGUAUUUUCAUUACAGUCAUAUUUUAUAAAUUUCUUAUCCAUCUCGGCUUGCACGAUUUUGUUUUUCUGUAUAAUAAGUGUAUUUAGAUUUACAAUUGUAUACUCCACCUACUCAUUGUUUUGUUACUGGUCUUCUAUAAAACAAAUUGUUUAUUGUAAUUCUUAUUAAUCUCAUUUUACAUCUUUCUUAUGCUAAAAACAGAUAUCCCCAAGAAUGCUCACAAUGCUGUCCACUAAUGGUGUAAGCAGCUGGACUACUGUUCAGAAUGACAGGCACAUGUUUCAAUCCAUGACCCUCUGAGCAAAUUGUGGGACUUAGUAAAGGGCCAGACCACAGACAUACAGUCUGGGGUUCAAUCCUAAUGCAUAUGUUUAUUAAUGUGAGGUGAUAAUUAGGAAACAGAUGUCAAGAUGUAAAACAAACUGCUGCUAUAUUUUUAACCAUAACAUGUAGGAGAUAAAUAUUUGUGAUACAUAGUAGUGUGGCAUACACUGACUUGAAAUCCUAGUAAUUGUAUGAUAACAUACUGCAUUAAAACACAGUUUUCCAGUAUGUAAACCCUUUUUUUGUGACAGAAAUCUCAAAUAAA